rnacentral:rRNA from 1 species
CAGAGGGAGCUAGCGUUGUUCGGAAUCACUGGGCGUAAAGCGCGCGCAGGCCGCCAUAUAAGUCAGAUGUGAAAGCCCGGGGCUUAACCUCGGAAUUGCAUUUGAAACUGUGUGGCUAGAGUAUGGUAGGGGAUAGGGGAAUUCCUAGUGUAGCGGUGAAAUGCGUAGAGAUUAGGAGGAACACCAGUGGCGAAGGCGCCUAUCUGGGCCAUUACUGACGCUGAGGCGCGAAAGCGUGGGGAGCAAACAGGAUUAGAUACCCUGGUAGUCCACGCCCUAAACGAUGAGUGCUAGUUGUCGGGACAUUAGUUUCGGUGAUGCAGCUAACGCGUUAAGCACUCCGCCUGGGGAGUACGGUCGCAAGAUUA